rnacentral:rRNA from 1 species
UCACUCUAGGNCGGACUGCCGGUAAUAAACCGGAGGAAGGUGGGGAUGACGUCAAAUCAUCAUGCCCCUUAUGACCUGGGCUACACACGUGCUACAAUGGCUGGUACAACGAGUCGCAAGCCGGUGACGGCAAGCUAAUCUCUGAAAGCCAGUCUCAGUUCGGAUUGUAGGCUGCAACUCGCCUACAUGAAGUCGGAAUCGCUAGUAAUCGCGGAUCAGCACGCCGCGGUGAAUACGUUCCCGGGCCUUGUACACACCGCCCGUCACACCACGAGAGUUUGUAACACCCGAAGUCGGUGAGGUAACCGUAAGGAGCCAGCCGCCUAAGGUGGGAUAGAUGAUUGGGGUGAAGUCGUAACAGGGUAACCGUAAGG